rnacentral:rRNA from 1 species
ACGUACACUCCUGCGGGAGGCAGCAGUGAGGAAUAUUGGACAAUGGGUGGAAGCCUGAUCCAGCCAUCCCGCGUGCAGGAAGACGGCCCUAUGGGUUGUAAACUGCUUUUAUCUGGGGAUAAACCUACUUACGUGUAAGUAGCUGAAGGUACCAGAAGAAUAAGCACCGGCUAACUCCGUGCCAGCAGCCGCGGUAAUACGGAGGGUGCAAGCGUUAUCCGGAUUUAUUGGGUUUAAAGGGUCCGUAGGCGGACUGAUAAGUCAGUGGUGAAAUCCGACAGCUUAACUGUCGAACUGCCAUUGAUACUGUUAGUCUUGAGUAAGGUUGAAGUGGCUGGAAUAAGUAGUGUAGCGGUGAAAUGCAUAGAUAUUACUUAGAACACCAAUUGCGAAGGCAGGUCACUAAGUCUUAACUGACGCUGAUGGACGAAAGCGUGGGGAGCGAACAGGAUUAGAAACCCUAGUAGUCCCAU